rnacentral:rRNA from 1 species
AAGUCCCGUAACGAGCGCAACCCUCGCCCUUAGUUGCCAGCAUUUAGUUGGGCACUCUAAGGGGACUGCCGGUGAUAAGCCGAGAGGAAGGUGGGGAUGACGUCAAGUCCUCAUGGCCCUUACGGGCUGGGCUACACACGUGCUACAAUGGUGGUGACAGUGGGCAGCGAGACAGCGAUGUCGAGCUAAUCUCCAAAAGCCAUCUCAGUUCGGAUUGCACUCUGCAACUCGAGUGCAUGAAGUUGGAAUCGCUAGUAAUCGCAGAUCAGCAUGCUGCGGUGAAUACGUUCCCGGGCCUUGUACACACCGCCCGU